UAGGGAAUCUUCGGCAAUGGGGGGAACCCUGACCGAGCAACGCCGCGUGAGUGAAGAAGGUUUUCGGAUCGUAAAGCUCUGUUGUUAAGGAAGAACGAGUGUGAGAAUGGAAAGUUCAUGCUGUGACGUUACUUAACCAGAAAGGGACGGCUAACUACGUGCCAGCAGCCGCGGUAAUACGUAGGUCCCGAGCGUUGUCCGGAUUUAUUGGGCGUAAAGCGAGCGCAGGCGGUUAGAAAAGUCUGAAGUGAAAGGCAGUGGCUCAACCAUUGUAGGCUUUGGAAACUGUUUAACUUGGGUGCAGAAGGGGAGAGUGGAAUUCCAUGGGUAGCGGUGAAAUGCGUAGAUAUAUGGAGGAACACCGGUGGCGAAAGCGGCUCUCUGGUCUGUAACUGACGCUGAGGCUCGAAAGCGUGGGGAGCGAACAGG
rnacentral:rRNA from 1 species